rnacentral:rRNA from 1 species
CCGACGGUGAGUAACACGUAUGCAAUCCACCUGUAACAGGGGAGUAACCCGGAGAAUCGACUAAUACCCCAUAAUAUGGGCGCUCCGCAUGGAGAGCCCAUUAAAGAGAGCAAUUUUGGUUACAGACGAGCAUGCGCUCCAUUAGCCAGUUGGCGGGGUAACGGCCCACCAAAGCGACGAUGGAUAGGGGUUCUGAGAGGAAGAUCCCCCACAUUGGAACUGAGACACGGUCCAA